AACGAACGCUGGCGGCGUGCCUGAGACAUGCAAGUCGUGGGAGAAAGUCGGAGCAAUCCGGCUAGUAAACCGGCGCACGGGUGAGUAACACGUGGGCAACCUGCCCUGGAGACUGGGAUAACCCGUCGAAAGACGGGCUAAUACCGGAUAAGACCCCGGAUAGUUUGCUAUCUGAGGUAAAAGGUGGCCUCUGCUCCUGCAAGCUAUCACUUCAAGAGGGGCCCGCGGCCUAUCAGCUAGUUGGUGAGGUAACGGCUCACCAAGGCUAAGACGGGUAGCUGGUCUGAGAGGAUGGUCAGCCACACUGGGACUGAGACACGGCCCAGAGUCCUACGGGAUGCAGCAGUCAGGAAUAUUGCGCAAUGGAGGAAACUCUGACGCAGCGACGCCGCGUGGGUGAUGAAGGCCUUCGGGUCGUAAAGCCCUGUCGGAGGGGAAGAAAAGCCUGUUGGCUAAUAUCCAGCGGGCCUUUGACGGUACCCUCAAAGGAAGCACCGGCUAACUCCGUGCCAGCAGCCGCGGUAAGACGGAGGGUGCAAGCGUUGUUCGGAUUGACUGGGCGUAAAGGGCGUGUAGGCGGUUGGUCAAGUCUGGUGUGAAAGCCCGGGGCUCAACCCCGGAAGUGCAUUGGAAACUAGCCAGCUAGAGCGCGAGAGAGGAGGGUGGAAUUCCUGGUGUAGCGGUGAAAUGCGUAGAUAUCAGGAGGAACACCGGCGGCGAAGGCGGCCCUCUGGCUCGUUGCUGACGCUGAAACGCGAAAGCGUGGGUAGCAAACAGGAUUAGAUACCCUGGUAGUCCACGCUGUAAACGAUG
rnacentral:rRNA from 1 species